AUUGAACGCUGGCGGCAGGCUUAACACAUGCAAGUCGAGCGGGGUGAUGGUGCUUGCACUAUCACUUAGCGGCGGACGGGUGAGUAAUGCUUAGGAAUCUGCCUAUUAGUGGGGGACAACAUCUCGAAAGGGAUGCUAAUACCGCAUACGUUCUACGGGAGAAAGCAGGGGAUCACUUGUGACCUUGCGCUAAUAGAUGAGCCUAAAUCGGAUUAGCUAGUUGGUGGGGUAAAGGCCUACCAAGGCGACGAUCUGUAGCGGGUCUGAGAGGAUGAUCCGCCACACUGGGACGGAGACACGGCCCGGACUCCUACGGGAGGCAGCAGUGGGGAAUAUUGGACAAUGGGGGGAACCCUGAUCCAGCCAUGCCGCGUGUGUGAAGAAGGCCUUAUGGUUGUAAAGCACUUUAAGCGAGGAGGAGGCUCUUUUGGUUAAUACCCAAGAUGAGUGGACGUUACUCGCAGAAUAAGCACCGGCUAACUCUGUGCCAGCCGCCGCCGUAA
rnacentral:rRNA from 1 species